rnacentral:lncRNA from 1 species
AACCUUAAGUCCAUCUAUUAAUAUUUUAAAAAAAGUGAUUUGUUCUCUUUCUUUUGUUUUUAUUCCUUUUUUAUUUAACAAGAUAAUAAGGUAGUAAAUAAAUUAGCAUAAUGUAAAUGAUAUAGUUAGAUAACAAUAAACAUAAACAUAAAAUACUUGAAAUAAAGUGAACAAUAAAUUAAAUCGCAAAAAAAAAUAAAGUGCAAUAAUAU